CCUAAGGCGAGGCCGAGAGGCGUAGUCGAUGGACAACGGGUUGAUAUUCCCGUACCCGCGAAAGAGCGUCCCUGAUGAACCUCGCUGUGCUAGCCACCCGAGCUCUGGAAGGUCUUCGGACUGACUGGGGGGAGCGUGGGAACCUGGUGGGUAGUAGUCAGGCGAUGGGGUGACGCAGGAAGGUAGCUGAUCCCGGCCGGUGGUUGUGCCGGGGUAAGCGUGUAGGCCGGUGUGUAGGCAAAUCCGCACACCAUGAAGGCUGAGACGUGAUGCCGAGCCGAUUCAGGUGAAGUCAGUGAUCCUAUGCUGCCGAGAAAAGCCUCUAGCGAGUUCUUAGCGGCCCGUACCCCAAACCGACACAGGUGGUCAGGUAGAGAAUACCAAGGCGACGGGCGAACUGUGGUUAAGGAACUCGGCAAAUUACCCCCGUAACUUCGGGAGAAGGGGGGCCGGACACGUGAAGCAACACGCUUGUGGAGCGUGGUAUGGCCGCAGAGACCAGGGGGAAGCGACUGUUUACUAAAAACACAGGUCCAUGCGAAGAAGUAAUUCGAUGUAUAUGGACUGACGCCUGCCCGGUGCUGGAACGUUAAGGGGACCUGUUAGCUCUUCGGGGCGAAGCGGAGAACUUAAGCGCCAGUAAACGGCGGUGGUAACUAUAACCAUCCUAAGGUAGCGAAAUUCCUUGUCGGGUAAGUUCCGACCUGCACGAAUGGCGUAACGACUUCCCUACUGUCUCAACCACAGGCCCGGCGAAAUUGCAGUACGAGUAAAGAUGCUCGUUACGCGCGGCAGGACGGAAAGACCCCGGGACCUUUACUAUAGCUUGACAUUGGUAUCUGAGUUAAUUUGUGUAGGAUAGGUGGGAGCCUGUGAAGCUCGUACGCCAGUACGGGUGGAGGCAAUCUUGAAAUACCACUCUGGUUGAUUCGGGUAUCUAACUUCGGACCGUGAUCCGGUUCAGGGACAGUGUCUGGUGGGUAGUUUAACUGGGGCGGUUGCCUCCUAAAGAGUAACGGAGGCGCCCAAAGGUUCCCUCAGCCUGGUUGGCAAUCAGGUGUUGAGUGUAAGUGCACAAGGGAGCUUGACUGUGAGACUGACAGGUCGAGCAGGGACGAAAGUCGGGACUAGUGAUCCGGCACCGGCAUGUGGAAGCGGUGUCGCUCAACGGAUAAAAGGUACCCCGGGGAUAACAGGCUGAUCUUCCCCAAGAGUCCAUAUCGACGGGAUGGUUUGGCACCUCGAUGUCGGCUCGUCGCAUCCUGGGCUGUAGCAGGUCCCAAGGGUUGGGCUGUUCGCCCAUUAAAGCGGUACGCGAGCUGGGUUUAGAACGUCGUGAGACAGUUCGGUCCCUAUCCGCCGUGCGCGUAGGAUACUUGAGAAGGGCUGUCCCUAGUACGAGAGGACCGGGACGGACGAACCUCUGGUGUGCCAGUUGUCCCGCCAGGGGCACGGCUGGUUAGCUACGUUCGGAAGGGAUAACCGCUGAAAGCAUCUAAGCGGGAAGCUCGCUUCAAGAUGAGGUAUCCCACCCACACUUGUGUGGGGUAAGGCCCCCAGCUAGACCACUGGGUUGAUAGGCAGGAAAUGUAAGCCCGGUAACGGGUUCAGUUGACCUGUACUAAUAGGCCGAGGACUUGACCUG
rnacentral:rRNA from 1 species